rnacentral:rRNA from 1 species
UACAGAGGUCCCAAGCGUUGUUCGGAUUCACUGGGCGUAAAGGGUGCGUAGGUGGCGAGGUAAGUCGGAUGUGAAAGCUCGGAGCUCAACUCCGAAAUGGCAUUGGAAACUACCUUGCUCGAGGGUUGGAGGGGGGACUGGAAUACUUGGUGUAGCAGUGAAAUGCGUAGAUAUCAAGUGGAGCACCAGUGGCGAAGGCGAGUCCCUGGACAACUCCUGACACUGAGGCACGAAAGCUAGGGGAGCAAACAGG